CUCACUAAUUCCCUUGUCUCAGUCAGUCUCAAUGUUGUUAAAGAGUCUUUUUUUAGCGCGUGGGUUUGUUUUGUUUGGAUGUGUUUUGAUUCAUGUGUGUGAGUUUUAUGUGGAUUUUGAUGAUUUGUGAAGGUCGUGUUGUGGGGUUUUUAUUUGGUAGUGAAAUCUUAUAUUUUCAUGUUGGUGGGUGUAGAUUUUUUAUUAAGGUAUUUGGAGAUGUUACAUGCUGAAGAUAAGUUAAAUGUGUGGCUAUUUGCUUCAAUAUAAGCUAAGAUGAAGAAAAAAAAUAUUUUUAAAAGGGGAAUUUGUGGCCAUUUCGUCAAAGAGAAAUGAAAAAGGCUAUGAAGAUUGAAUUUGUAGAGUAGAUCAAGGAGUUCAGCUAGUUAGAAUGGAUAAUAUUUUGGUGAAAGGGCUGUUUUUUAGUGUGUCUGCGUGCAUUUAUUUUUGUUUAUGGAUGGUAUGUUUUCUGAGUUUUAUAUGUGAUGAGGGAGUUUGGAGUGUUUUCCUUC